AUAGCAUGGUGUGGGCAUGAUCUAAGUAGGUCCUUGAGUCUUUCCCAAGUCUCAUAUAAUUUUUCUCCCUCAUAUUAAGAGAUACUAGUGAUAGCUCUCCUAAUAUC